GGUCAUUAAGGAGCAGGUAGGGGUUAGACAGUACAGAGACAGGUCAUUAAGGAGCAGGUAGGGGUUAGACAGUACAGAGACAGGUCAUUAAGGAGCAGGUAGGGGUUAGACAGUACAGAGACAGGUCAUCAAGGAGCAGGUAGGGGUUAGACAGUACAGAGACGGGUCAUUAAGGAGCAGGUAGGGGUUAGACAGUACAGAGACAGGUCAUUAAGGAGCAGGUAGGGGUUAGACAGUACAGAGACGGGUCAUUAAGGAGCAGGUAGGGGUUAGACAGUACAGAGACAGGUCAUUAAGGAGCAGGUAGGGGUUAGACAGUACAGAGACAGGUCAUUAAGGAGCAGGUAGGGGUUAGACAGUACAGAGACAGGUCAUUAAGGAGCAGGUAGGGGUUAGACAGUACAGAGACAGGUCAGCAAAGAGCAAGAAGAGGUUGGAGAGUGGAUUAAUCUCCUGAAUCUAAAAGGUAUAAAUCUAGAGAUUGAUUUUAAAACGAUGGAAACUAAAUUUGCUUUUAUAUGAACUCAAAUUCCAACUCGAUGACCUUAGAGACGACUCAGGGUGUAGUUCAGAGGGCUUUAUCGGUGGUCCUUCCCUAGUUUCAUAACCCCCAACCUAUCCAAAGUCUGCCUCAGGAUUCAGGAGGACUUGUUAUCCCUUCUGCAAGUUCUGGCUGGCUAGACCGAUGAUUUAGAAGAAAUUGGUGACCAAAAAUCUUUCUGAAAAGAUUCAACAUUCAUG
ensembl:lncRNA